CAUGACCCCCUGCCCUCUGCACACAUUCCCCUCCAAGCGCUACCCCCAGAUGCAGGCAGCCGUCCUCGCAUCCUUGCAUGUCUCCAGGGUGAAGAUUGAAGACCCGAGCCACCCUGGAUCCUGAUCAGAUCCAGCUCACUUUCUUCCUGCCAUUGGCCAGGGUUGCACCCUGUUCUCUGUUCACACGCAGACGCACACACACCCACCAUGGUCCCAGGGGCAGAGCCCAGGAGCUGACUCCACAAUUGAAAGCCAAACCACGACAGAGCUGCGCCACCCAUAAGCCAUCUGGGUGGAGGGCGGCCAGCCGAGCCCAUUACACAAUUUCCUGCUUUGGUGUCGCAGCCCCAGGAGACAGGAUGCAGAAUGCCGUUGGGUUGCUGCAAUGUGGGAAGCCCAGAAAAGAGACCAAACCUCCCAUGCCCAGAGUGGAUAAGGCCACCGCCUGCCCAGCAGAUGAGCCUACGACCUGCAGCUGCCUGGACAGCCCUCGAAAGGAAUGAGCAGGCCCCCCAUGGGCCACAGAGAGCCGAGAGCACGAAAAACUUCCUGUGGGCAGAGGAAGGCGUUUCCUGUGGGGGGAACCCAGGAUAGAACGCAUGGCUUUGGGCGGCUUCUCCCCUCUGUGAAGCGGGGAUGAGGAAAACCCCUAAACCUCAGGAUUCAGCGAGUUAACACCCAGAAACCAAGUAGAAUAGCCGUGUUGUCGCUGCAUCAGCCAGGAGGCGGCUGCUCGGAGAACCCCCAUCUUCCAUACAAGACCCACCCGAGGCUAGUUCCAGCUGCGGAGAAGAGAGACAACAGAAGCCCCUGGCAGACCUGCCCGGACCCGCGCUCACACAGGCACAGGGUAGGGCAGGGCUUCCACCCGGGGCGGGGAGAAGGGGC